rnacentral:rRNA from 1 species
UUAGAGUUUUGAUCCUGGCUCAGAUUGAACGCUGGCGGCAUGCCUUACACAUGCAAGUCGAACGGCAGCGCGGGGCAACCUGGCGGCGAGUGGCGAACGGGUGAGUAAUAUAUCGGAACGUACCCUGGAGUGGGGGAUAACGUAGCGAAAGUUACGCUAAUACCGCAUACGAUCUAAGGAUGAAAGUGGGGGAUUCGCAAGAACCUCAUGCUCCUGGAGCGGCCGAUAUCUGAUUAGCUAGUUGGUGGGGUAAAGGCCUACCAAGGCAUCGAUCAGUAGCUGGUCUGAGAGGACGACCAGCCACACUGGGACUGAGACACGGCCCAGACUCCUACGGGAGGCAGCAGUGGGGAAUUUUGGACAAUGGGCGCAAGCCUGAUCCAGCAAUGCCGCGUGAGUGAAGAAGGCCUUCGGGUUGUAAAGCUCUUUUGUCAGGGAAGAAACGGGCCGGGUUAAUACCCUGGUCUAAUGACGGUACCUGAAGAAUAAGCACCGGCUAACUACGUGCCAGCAGCCGCGGUAAUACGUAGGGUGCAAGCGUUAAUCGGAAUUACUGGGCGUAAAGCGUGCGCAGGCGGUUGUGCAAGACCGAUGUGAAA